rnacentral:ncRNA from 2 species
AACUUGUCUCGCGGUGAUUUGAGGGAGCAGCUUGCGCCGCGUCAACAAACGCUAAAGCGCCACGGAGCGUAUUCG